CACGUAGGGGCCAAGCGUUGUCCGGAUUUAUUGGGCGUAAAGAGCUCGUAGGCGGUUGGGUAAGUCGGGUGUGAAAACUCCAGGCUCAACUUGGAGACGCCACCCGAUACUGCUCUGACUUGAGUUCGGUAGGGGAGUGGGGAAUUCCUGGUGUAGCGGUGAAAUGCGCAGAUAUCAGGAGGAACACCGGUGGCGAAGGCGGGUUGCUGGGCCGACACUGACGCUGAGGCGCGAAAGCUAGGGGAGCGAACGGG
rnacentral:rRNA from 1 species